CCAGGCCACUUUUAUUUAAACAGAAGCAGCGGCCCCACAGCCAUGGGGACAUGUCUUCCAGACAGUAGACACAGUGCCUGUGGCUGUAAGAGCCUGACAGGGAAGAUUCAUGCCUUUCUCCUUGGCCCCCAUGACCAAAGAAGAAAAUAAAAAUCACACACCAUACACUGCCACACCCAUCUCCACCCCUCCCUUUCAGUAAUAUCCAAGUAUUCAUCCUUCUGGCCAAAGAAACUGGCUACAAUUCUGAUUCUAAAGAAAACCUUCAUGCAGCCAAGAAACUCAGGGCUCUGGAGGGGAGAGCCUUACUCUGAUACUUUCCACAUGCACUGCCCACUGGCAUCAAGUUUAACUCCAUCCAAAACCAUCACAUGGAUGGCCAGGGACAGGACUGGCUACAAAAAAAAGCCAUGAACUCAGCUCACCAUGCUAAGAAGACUGCCUCUUUCCAGGCAAGAUUUUACUGGAGCAACAUAACCGGAGGGUGUGAUUCCAAAAUACCUUCCUUUCCAAGCCCCGGGUUGUGGAUAAGGUCUGGAUUUUGGUUAUAUGACUAAGGGCGACAGAGGCUGCUGGCAUCUCUGGCCACCGUCCCAGUGGCUUAGGGUUGGAGGCUUCACUGGCAAAACAAUGGCACUGUUUAACUAGCUCGUGUUAACCAUUCAUCUACAGCAAGUAGAAUCAUCAGUUUUGCACUGAGCAAGGAAGCACAUGGGUCUCCUAUGAGAGCUAAUGCCAGAAUUCACAUGCUUUGUAAAAUAUAGGAUGAGGUUUAUUUCUUUCUUCUGCCCCCUCCAGAGGCCAAAUGGGUAGGGUGGUUCCUUUGCCUUCUGAGUGCCUGGAUGCCCCCAGCCCUCACAAGACCCUGCUAAGACACUGGCAGUGUGCCAAGCCUUGGGUGGGAUGGGUGAACACCCUUCAAUGACUCUGAGAGGAUUCUGGCACCUGGAAUGACAAGACAGAUGCUUCCCUGCAAGCCAGGUAUGAGCCUUUCUGGAAAUGAGAUGGGAGCUGACCUUGGGGUUGAAGGAAGGAUCUUGAAUGACAGAUAAUCCCCAAGUGUCCACUGGAUCAUUUUUCCUCUGACUUUCCACACAAAUGAGGCUUUCCGUGGGUUUUGCAACCACAGUGUCUAAGACAAUCAGAAGGGUUCCAGGGAGGUCUUGUCUGUAGCGAUGUGACAGAUGAGGAAACUGCAGCUCAGAGGACAAUGACUUGCCCACGUUGCACAGCUCGCUGACAGUAGAGAGGGGCUGAAACCUAGGUCUCCUGACUCACACGCCACAACCAUGACUGGCUCAGCUCCCUUAAUUCCAGCUUCCCUUACAUGACGCAAUUCCUUCUCAGAUUCGGGUGUCCCAGGCUGAGGCUGG
rnacentral:lncRNA from 1 species